rnacentral:rRNA from 1 species
UACGAAGGGGGGCGAGCGUUGUUCGGAAUUACUGGGCGUAAAGCGUGCGCAGGCGGUCUUUUAAGUCAGAUGUGAAAUCCCCGGGCUUAACCUGGGAACUGCGUUUGAAACUGGAAGGCUAGAGUGUGGCAGAGGGGGGUGGAAUUCCACGUGUAGCAGUGAAAUGCGUAGAUAUCAAGAGGAACACCUGAGGUGAAGACGGGUUGCUGGGCUGACACGUGACGCUGAGGCGCGAAAGCUAGGGUAGCAAACGGG